UUGCGCUUUAAUCAGGUGAGACAGCCGGCGAGACGUGAAUUUUUUCCUUUUCUCUUUACAGGCAGGCAACAGAAGCACAAAUUGUGUGGCUUGCUGAGUUCGCAUAGGAAUGGCCUUGCUAGCGAUGGAGGGAAAAUCCAGAUCUCCCAAGUACCAGACCAGCAUCUCCAUCAAAGAUCAUCCUUCUGCCUGGUUUCUGCUCUGGUUCCUGAAUGAUGCUCAACCCUUCUGUUCCUGAAGCGGAGCCUGUGCUUAGGACAACGCAUACAGCAGCUGAUGGAGAAUGCGCCGGCAUUUUGGAGGUGCUCAGAAAGAUCUCUAUAAGAGCUAAGCCACCGUUGUGCUGCCUCCCCAGCUAGUUCUGCAAACCAGCUUCCUGCCUGUGUGAGCACAGACCCAACAAAGGAAUUGCUUGAAAAUGGAAAUUCUUGCACCACUCCCUUUCCAGCGUGUCUCCUGAUGCUGACUAGUUGCCACCAUGCCCUCCAUCCUGAAGUGCAUCUGAGGGCAUUUCUAACUCAAUAUUGGAGUUCUUUAAAGAAGUACAUUCAUCACAGGACUUGCAUUUAUCUUUGGUGGUUCUCCCUUCCUCCCUGUCCCUCUGGUGAUGACAUCGACCAAUUCUGUGCUCCCAUUUAGAUGUUCAGGGAGCUGGACACUACUCCUACUCAGCAGUCGACUGGAUUUGGCCGUGGCCUGAAGAGCCACAGCAAGAUCAUUUUGAAGAAGACAGAGUAACAAAGAAAUAGCCACUCAAUAGCAUGCAGUGAGGCAGGAGUUGAUUUGGUUUAACACAGCUGCUAAAAUUGACAUUGAGGAUCCAAGGUCUUAAUUGUACAAUUUUUGAAAUCAAACUCUCUGGAAUUGAGUAAGACCUAAAUAAAAAAAAAUUGAAAACUCCA
rnacentral:lncRNA from 1 species